UCAACAUUCCUACUUUACUCUUGUUUGCAUCA
rnacentral:piRNA from 1 species